rnacentral:lncRNA from 1 species
CGAUUAUUGCCUUUAAUGAAUGACACUGUAAAAUAUUAACUCUAUUCUGGUUGCUGUAUUUUUAAAGUCUAGGUUACAAGAAAACUUUGUGUAUAAAUUGAUCAUUGCAGGUCUAGAUGCUAAAUAAUACAAAGGAUUUACAAUUCAUGAGUAGGGAAAUGACUUUUUGUGGUCUUAGAAAAUAUUACACUGAAAUACCUAGUACAUGAUAAUGUACACUUAACUCAGAUAAAUGCAGCAAUUUACCAGUUUCUUUCUGUUAGUCUUUUCUUAGAAUUAUGUAAAAAAAAAAAAAAACCAGAUUAAUCUGAAUAGAAAUUCAUGAAAAGUAUGGUUUGAGAAGCAUUCCAAAUGAAUGAGGUAAUUUUUGUUAC